GACGAACGCUGGCGGCGUGCCUAAUACAUGCAAGUAGAACGCACAGUUUAUACCGUAGCUUGCUACACCAUAGACUGUGAGUUGCGAACGGGUGAGUAACGCGUAGGUAACCUGCCUGGUAGCGGGGGAUAACUAUUGGAAACGAUAGCUAAUACCGCAUAAUAUUAAUUAUUGCAUGAUAAUUAAUUGAAAGGUGCAAUUGCACCACUACCAGAUGGACCUGCGUUGUAUUAGCUAGUAGGUGAGGUAACGGCUCACCUAGGCGACGAUACAUAGCCGACCUGAGAGGGUGAUCGGCCACCCUGGGACUGAGACACGGCCCAGACUCCUACGGGAGGCAGCAGUAGGGAAUCUUCGGCAAUGGACGAAAGUCUGACCGAGCAACGCCGCGGGAGUGAAGAAGGUUUUCGGAUCGUAAAGCUCUGUUGUAAGAGAAGAACGGGUGUGAGAGUGGAAAGUUCACACUGUGACGGUAUCUUACCAGAAAGGGACGGCUAACUACGUG
rnacentral:rRNA from 1 species